rnacentral:lncRNA from 1 species
AGAAGACCAAGAAUUAUGUCAAAUUCAAUCAAAGGUGGAACUGGUUGUUGUCCAAAAGUUUGAGAAAUCAGAUAAUUAUUAAGUGUAUGUUCUUUGUUUGGUUGAUGAGGAACAAAGAGAAGAAGAAAAAAUAUUUGUAUUUCGACAGGACAGAACACGAAGAAGAAGAAGAAGAAAGAGGAUAGAACAUGAAGAAGGAGAAAAAAAAAAGAAAGAGAAAAGGACAGAGCACGACGAAGAAGAAGAAAAAAAAAGCUUUAGACGUUAAAUAUCUUGUUAGUUGGGUGUAAG